CAAAAAAUAGUUUAUAAAAUAUUAGCAUUGGAAGCUAAAGUUCCAUGUUUUCAUGGUUUUUUGA
rnacentral:tRNA from 1 species